rnacentral:rRNA from 1 species
UACCAGCACCCCGAGUGGUCGGGACGAUUAUUGGGCCUAAAGCAUCCGUAGCCGGUUCUGCAAGUCUUCCGUUAAAUCCAGCUGCUCAACAGAUGGGCCGCGGAGGAUACUACAGAGCUAGGAGGCAGGAGAGGCAAGCGGUACUCAGUGGGUAGGGGUAAAAAUCCGUUGAUCCAUUGAAGACCACCAGUGGCGAAGGCGGCUUGCCAGAAUGCGCUCGACGGUGAGGGAUGAAAGCUGGGGGGAGCAAAACCGG